rnacentral:lncRNA from 1 species
GCCGAGCUGAAUCAUUUUCCAGAGACCUGUGCUGGCCAGGGACUCCUUCCUAACUUACUACAUUUCCCUGUGACUGUCUUCCUGGCCCUGUUGUCAGGCCAGGAGCAAGGAAAAGUGAUCAUCAAAUUUCAGGAAUGUGAGCUGACCUUGGAGCGACCUCAGCAUGCCCAGUGCCCUGCAGACGCCACCAGGCACGGAGGAGUGAAGGCGGCCGUGGCUGUGCUGAGGCGCUACAGACACCAUCUCGCCAAGCCACGCGACUACGUCUGUCGCAGACGCCCUGCUUUUCCGCGGGAGAAAAGCUGAGGGUAUGCUUAAAAGGAAAGACGAAAUGGUAUAAAGACAAAUAGAGGGGAAGAGAGACCAGGAAAGCAGAGAGCCAUCGAUGCGAAGCAUCUUGACCCCUGCGUGUUUCUCUCAGGUCACAGACUUCACAGCAAGCGAUAGAGAGUCAAGGACAUGCAGAAAUGGGUUUCAUUCACUGCAGUAAGAACAGGGAAACAAGUUCAUGGCAAAGGUAAUAAAAAUCUGGUUUCAAUGCUGAAUGUCA